ensembl:snoRNA SNORD73 Small nucleolar RNA SNORD73
AAUGAAUGAUGACAAAAUGUUUCGGUCCCAAAUGAAACAUCCUGAUUUUACCGUUACAUGUUUUUCUGACAUU